GGCAGUUCGUGGCACAACACCAUGGGCAGAGUCAAGGAGAGCUGAAUUAGAUUCAGCCUCAGAUGCUAGCUAGGAGACCCUGGGCAAGUCAGUUAACCUGGGAAUAACACUACCUAGCUCCCGGGGUUGUCAGGAUCAAGCUCUUGCCAGUGCCUGGCUCAUAGUAGAUCCUAGGUGAACGUAUUCCCUCCACACUCCCUCCCUUGAACACCGAAGGUACAUAAAGGUUGUGUAUCACCCCAAAAAGCAACAGAAAGCUGCAUGAGAGUGAGUAGACUGGCACAAAGCUGCCCAAGAUAUGGCAUCACAAGGACAAUUUUAUUAAUGCAUUUAAUAAUUGCCCAGGGUCACACAGCUAGCGUCUGAGGCUGGAAUUGAACCCAGGUCUUUUUGACUCCAGGUCCAGCACUCCAGCUGUGCUACCUAGCUAAGAAUUCAACCCAGCUGAUUUCUGUUUGUUGUUUGGCUGGUGGCUCCCAUCAGAGCAAUACAAAUGAUCCUGGAAGCACAUCUUUCCUGGCCCGGGUAGAGAAGGGAAGAGUUAAGAAAGCCUUUCCCGGUUCCUCGGCAUCACGCACUAGGCGUGCAAAUGCUGGGAAAUCAGUGGAGCGCCCGCAGCGCCGAGACCUUCUCCCACGCAUCCACUCCCACACGCGCUUUUAUUAAUUCAUUCUUCCUGGGCUGCCUUUGAAAAGGCGACAAUGUAUCAGAAGAUCGGCACGUGGUCAGCAAGCCAGGAAGAGGGAAGAAACACAUAGCCGCACACACACAAAUGCAGGCUCGGGCUCCGUUCGGAGGAAGCCCAGGGGACUGGAGCAUCAGCCAUCUGCUAAGAGCAGAGCUCGCUUCCCCAGACGCCCCGGUGGCGCGGGCUGUCCCAGAGCUCGGAGCACGCGCGCGUGCGCGAGGAACUCUCGCUUCAGGGCAAGGGAGUGCGAGGUCGCUGCAGACAAUGUAGCGCUUCUGACACGGGGAGGGUCUCGCGGGCUGCACGUGUGGGAUCGCGGGCGCUUGGAUGCUGGCCUUGUUCAGCGAACCGGCGUCUGAGCCUUCCCCUAGUCACGUAGCGAAAGACCGUGACUCAGCGCUGACUCACUGAAUUCCCUGCCAAUGGAUUUCCCCGGCUGUCAGCUGCUCUAUCUCAGCCUAUCCGGGAAAAAGAGAAAGAUGCUUCUCCGCCGCUUUGUGGCUCAGCCCCGGGUUACUAGUGCCUGGCUGUCUCUCUCUUAAUGACGGAGCGGCACACAGAGCUCACGACCAUUCCGUCCCAAGCAAGCGGUGGAUUGACUUGCGUUAUUUUCAUGGUAAAACAGUUCUUUCCCGAGAGAACAAAAUGAGUCCAUUAAUCAGAAUUCCUUCGUCACAAGCCUGCUUUAAUAAAUCACGGACUAUUUUUACAAGGAUUUGUCCAUAAGCCCAGUGCCCAUUUCGUUUCCUGCCGCACUAAAAACUCUCAUCCUGUUUUAGCCCUACAUCUUAGGCUAUGUGAUAACGACCCCUGGCACAUACCGGUGAUUGUGGUGACGCAAAUGAGGUUUGCACAUGGCGUGCGCUGGCACGAGUGACUUACAGUAAAAGCGAGGAACGCUUUGGAAGGACGAGCUGCAAUAUCACCCUCUGCGUAAGUGUCAUUUCCAUUCUGUCCGUCACACAGUGGACCCCUGAGUGAUGGAUCUGGCUAAAGGCGGAGGACUGGCCUUUGAGUUGGGCUCUGCGACUAAACUAGAGCCGUGUGACCUCGGGCAAAGUGAUGGACGCGUCCAAGAUCUCGGUUUCUUUCCGAGGGAGGAGAGAUUUUGGACGUGGAGGACAGAUGUGUAUCAUUGGUGGUCGAGCACUCUGCAUUAUUAGGUUACAGGAGUCUUAAGGCAAAAUGUUUAUUGCACUGAGUAUUUUCUUUUUCUAAAAGUGACUUUGCAAUAUAUUUGCCUUCAUUUCCUGUACAAGGUAAUCACCAGACUUAAUGUGUUUAUGUAUAAUGUUGUGUUUGCUUUAAAUGGAUAUCAACAGAGCCAAGUUUGGUGAUUGGGACUUUUUUUAACCCUAAAAUUCUGCCCUAGAAUCAAUAUUGUGUAUUGUUUCCAAGGCAGAAGAGUGGUACAGGUUAGGCAAUCAGGGUUCAAGUGACUUACCCCAGGUCCGCGGUUAGGAUCCAGGACCUCUCACCGUAAUUGAUUCUUUUUGGAGAAAUGAGAAGUGUUGCCCCCUUGGAGAUUUUCUUGAUUACUUUAAAAUAUUCAUUAAUUAAAGAGUAAUAGACAACAGAGCUGGUCCUGGAGUCAGAAAGACUUGAGUUCAGAUUUAACCUCUGACACUAGCAAUGUGACCCUGAGCAAGUUAUUUAACUUGUUUGCCUCAGUUUUCUCAUCUAUAAAAUGGGAAUGAUAAUUGCACUCAAUUCCCAGAGUUGUUAUGACGAUCAAAUGAAAUCAUAAUGGUAAAGUGCUUAUCACUUUAACAUUAAAAACAUUUAAAAAUGUAAGCUGCUAUUAUGUGAUGUUCUCUGGGGAAUUGUUCUCCUGUGAUCACUAUAGCAUAUUAAUGAAUUAAAGGGUAAUUGAAUUAAAGUUGAAUUAAAUUCAGUUAAAUUGAAUGAAUUAAAGUUGGCCAAUUCUUCAGACACUUAUUAGCCAUGACUUUGAGCAAGUCAAUAAAGCUCUGUUUGCCUCUAUUUUCUUAUCUGUAAGAUGAAGAUAAUAAUGGCACCUACCUCUCAGGAUAGUUAAGUUGCUCAACUGAGAUAAUAUUUGCAAAGUGCUUAGAACAGAGCCUUGCACAUAGUAGAAGCCAUAUAAAUUCCAGUUAUUAUUAUUAUUACCUGGUUUUGAGAAUAUUUCACAUCUCUAUAUAAUGAUUCUUUUAAAAACAAUUAUUUUUAAUGUUAAACUGGUAAGAUCUUUUUAACAAAGAGCAGAAAAGUAAUUAAAUUGCUCUACAGGUAUGUAUUUUGAGAAGGCAAAUGAAAUAAAAAAUGAAAAAGUUAGAAUCCUAAAAUGCCUUCCCCCCAAAGAGUUGAGUAAAAGGAAGUUUUCAUAUCACAUUCGUGUUUGAGUUUGUUUUGUAAAUUAUUCUUAUUUUUCCUGGAUUCUUAACACUUUAACUACUUUUCACUGGAAGCUUUUUAAAUUCUGGGUAUUGAAACAGUUUAGAAGUACGCUGGCCCAGAUGAAGCGAGAUUCUACUGUGAUCAAAGUUGGGCGUACAUGGGAAAAGAACAAAUUAGAGAUUUUUUUUCAAUCCAAAUUCAACUUAACAAGAUUCAUAGAAUCUGGUCUCUAAGGAAAAAAGAAGUAGAAAUGGGGCUCAAGGAACAUGAAUUAGAAGAGUACCUGGGGGAAAAGUCAGUCUCUAAUAGAAUUUAAAAACUAAAUGAAUGAUUUGAAGACUAUAUUAUUUCAUUGCUUUAGAUACUCCCUUCACCCAUGUUAAUUAUAACUCCUCCAUCUUUUUCAUCCUAUGUGAUCCCCCCCCCCAUGCGAUGUGAUUUUUGUCCAUACUUCCCCAGAAAUCCUCUAUAGAAAAAUCAGCUUAGAUGCUGAAAGUCCUCUAAAACUUCUUUAGAACUUUGGGUCCUUAAUCAUUCGAGCUAUCCAUUCAUCCUCCACAUAGUCAUUCUAAUUUAUUUAAUAUUAGGGUUUACAUUUUGUUGCAAAAAUAUUUAAUAGCAUUAGUUUGCAUCUAAAAAUAGUAAAAAUAGAUUUGACCAUAUCACUUCUUUACUUAAAAAUAUUAAAUGCCUCCCAAUUGAAUAAAAAAAAAAUCCUGAGCCUGGGGCUUAAAGUCCAAGAUAUGGUUUCCACUCACUUUUGCAUUCUUUCUUCAUGCUACUUCCUUUAAUGCACUUUCCUUUAGAAUCAAAUUGACCUCCUAGCUUUCCCCCUCCAAUAUGCUCUAUCUCCUCCCUCCUGUCCAUUGAAUUCUAGGAGCUUUUUUCUUUGCAACUGUGGCCUACUUAAAAUAAUCAAAAUUUUUGGUUAAUUAAAGAAUUCAUGCACAAGUCAAGACAUCACCCCAUGAUAUCAUUGGUCUUCUUUGAAAAUGAAGGACAGGCCAGCUGGGUGGCUCAGUAGAUAGAGAACCAGAUGUAGAGAUGGGAAUUCCUGGGUUCAAAUCUGGGCUCAGAUACUUCCCAACACUGGACAAGUCACUUAACCCCCAUUACCUAGCCCUUGCCACUCUUCUGCCUUGGAAGCACUACACAGUAUUGAUUCUAAGACAGUAAGGGUUUAAAAAAAAAAGAAAGAAAAUGAAGGACAAACAAUAACAACUGUAUGUACAUAUGACAUAGUCCCUGCUCUUAAAGAGCUUAAAUAGCCAUCCCCCCAAACUAUAGAAAUAUAUACCCUCCAUAUAUACAUGUGUACACAUCUAUGUCUUAUACAAACAUACAUAUACAAACAAAUAUACAAACAUAAAAAUUGUGCUGAGUCAGUGCUGAGCAAAUAAUUUUUGUCCUGGACAUAUUUGCCAGUUUUUUUUUUUUUUUGGAGUGCAGUAGUAGUUCCAAAGCAAUGAUUUCCUGGUGUGAUAACUCACUCCAGCAAUGUUGAUCUGCUAUUGAUUAAAAAUAUAUAUAUAACCCUUCUAUUCUGUUUUAGAAUCAAUAGUGUAUAUUGGUUCCAAGGCAGAAGAACAGUAAAGGGUAGGUAGUUAUUUGCCUAGCUAAGGAGUGAAUGAGGUCACAUUUGAGUCACCAAGCUGCCUCCAGCUAUUGGUUUUUGUUUUUGUUUUUAAACUCUUACCUUCCAUCUUGGAGUCAAUACUGUGUAUUGGCUCCAAGGCAGAAGAGUGGUUAGGGCUAGGCAAUGGGGGUCAAGUGACUUGCCCAGGGUCACACAGCUGGGAAGUGUCUGGGGCUAGACUUGAACCCAGGACCUCCCAUCUCUAGGCCUGACUCUCAAUCCACUGAGCCACCGAACUUCCCCCUUGCUAUUGGUUUUUAAUUAAAAAUUUUAAAGUUUCUCAGAGCAUUAAGAGUUUAAAUCAUUUGCCCAAGGUCACACAUAGGUAAACUUCAUAGUACUUGAAGUCAAAUCAUUCGUAAUUCAUAAACAACUCUUUGCAAUAUCAAAAUUGCCUCUUUAAAUGAGAUUUUUUACUGUUUUGAGAUUUUAAAUGCAAAGUAAAACUCUACCAUCAGAUAUUUUUACCACAAAAUUUAAACCCUAAAAUCAUGAAAUAAAAACCUGUAGAAUCAAAUACAAAAGAAAUCAUCAUCUACUGCUGAGAUCAAUAGUUAUGGUGAAGGGACAAGUUAAAAUGGUAAAAGAUCCACAUUUCGGAAAUGAUCCAUGACAAGAGAAGGGUGGGAGUAGGGCCAGGGGACUCUUCACAAAUUGGUAACACCUAUGGCUACCCAACAGUGGUGUCAAGAUGGAAGAGUAACUAAUUAUUAGACUUUAACUACCCAAAACAUAAUUCACAGGAAAUUAAUCCUGCCUUCUUCAAGAAUAAAAAAAGUUCCUGUGGAUUAUUUUAACUUCAGUUUUCUAACCCUUAACAAAACUCCAUGUUUCAAGCUGUCACACUUUUUUCUUUUUUUCCAAACCCAGCCAAACUGUUAAAGAGUAGGAAGGAAACAACAACGAGGAGUAGCAUUUAUUAAGCACCUACUAUGUUCCAGGAAGUUUGCUAAGUGCUGGAAUAUGUCAAAAAUGAAAAAGAGCUAACAGGCUUUGGAGUAUGUCAGUGGGGAGACACUAUGUACAAGUCAGUAUGAAGUCUGGAAAGCCUUCUUACAGGAGGUGACAAUUGAAUUAAGGCUUGAAGGGACUAUAGAAUGCCCAAAGGGGAAGUGAGGAGAGAGAGAGCAUCCCAGUCAAGGAGGUUGUAGAGAUAGAAUGUUUUGCCAGGAAUAUUUAUGUCUUUAGAAGAAAUAAUGCCAAAUUAGUCUAGAAAGACAGGUUUGAACCAAAUUGCAAAGUAUUUUAAAUGCCAGGAAAAAAAGGAGUUUUUAUUUUCCCCUAGGAACAGUUGGGAGCCACUGAAAAUUCUUGAGCAGAUCUUGAGCAGUGUCCUUAAGGACUCAAAUUGACUUCAUAUUGACUUCCUUUCUUACAGUGUUGUUUCUGUGUUGUUUGAUAACUGAGGAGAUUAGGGAAAAUGACUUCUGUUUCUAAGUAGAGGUAAGGUAUCAGGAUACUCAUUGGACAAUCAGAAAAGAGUCAUUGCUAAAAAUAAGACUUCUCACUUGGCAAAUGGUUACUGUUUUUUGCUUAGAGCUGCCAUAUUAAGCUACAAUGGAUACUAUACCAAUUAAUACUUUAUUUCAGGCAAGAAGCAAAAUCCCCCUGAGUCAUUACAGUCAAGAAGCUUACAACUUAAUGGUGGAGACAACAUAUAAACAGCUCUCCAUACAAGACAGAUACAAAGUAGACAGAAGGCACUUGGAGAGGGGGAGACAUCAGUAGCUGCCCGGAAUGAGCUAAAGUUCCUUUAUUUAGGAUUUGAGCUAAGCCUUGAAAGAAGUCCGGAAUCUAAGAAGCAGAGGAGCAUUCUAGGCAUAUGAGGGUCAGCCCCUAAGAAUGCUAUUUUUUUCUUAUUGCUGUAUUAUAUUUUUGUUAAUUUUUUCCCUCGAUCCAAUUUAAGGUUCAAAAUAUUCUCAAAACAGACUCAUGCCCCUUCCUCUUGCCAGAAGUGUUCCAAUCUCCCCACACCUGGCAUACCCCCUUUGUAUUCGAUUCUUUUCUUUUCCCCUCAGCAUCGUCUGUACAACCCACGUCUGGGUCCAACCGCCUCUGGGAAAUUCCCUCGGAAUAUCCCUCAACCGUGACUCCGAAGUUUUUCCUUGGUGUAAGCAGCCUCUCUCUUCUCUUCCGAGCUGAUAGUCCACACCAUUCUAGUCAAAAGCCAAUAUAACUAGAUAUUGCCUUGUCUUUUUAUAUCUGCUGACUUCACUCCCUCUGCCACCAUCCAUUGCUACCACAGCUGAGAAAGAUUUGGGUCCUCAGCAGGGGUCUCAGCUUAUAGCUCUCUGCUGCCCCCGACUGGAUCCUGGUUGCUACAGCUUUCAUUAGGGAGUACUUCUUCCUGUGUAGUUAUUCACCAAAAUACUCCUUCAUGGAAACAGAACUGAUAAUAACGAGGUGGGGCUGCAUGAGACGGGAAAAUAGACACGCACAUAGUUUUGGAGUGAGGAGCGGAAUUUGCAGGGACAGGCUAAAUAACCUGUGGAUCCUUAAUCCACUGCACUGGGGCAAUAAAUAGAAUGGACUGCGCUCUCCAAGACAGGGAUUGGACGGGUCUACCUGGAACCCAAUUCCUCCUUAGUAGGGGACCUUGUCACUUAAAGAUAAAAGAACAAGAAAACCAAAGUGAAACAUUCAUUCUUUGCUCUCUUUCUGAAGACAAGUAUUUUAAAAGAUAUUAGACUACAACUUUUCACAGGACUUGCUUUCUUAUGAAAAUAUUUCUGUGGGACAUUGGUCUAUUCCUAUUUAUAGAACAGCCCAGUGACUCAUUUUGUGCAUUUAAAGAGUCUAAUGAGCAUUUCCAGUUCUGUAUUAGCUGUGGGUCCCAUUAAUAGCUCCUUCACACUGGGGUAUAUUCUUGCCAAUGGCUUUCUGACACAACUGAUGUUUCAAUGAUUUUGUUGUCAUUGCAGCUUGUGGAUGACAUUGGUGUGGGGAAUAGGGAGCCCUAUGUUUAGCCAGCAAAGAGAAAAAUAAGACCUUAUUCUUAAGGCUCGUGGGUUCUUUAUCGACAUUUAGAUUCAUAUCCCUUGACUGGCAAAAAAAAAGACUAGUAUUAUUAUUUGGUGCAAAUAAUAAAUUACUCAACUCUAGUCCACUGAGAGCAAAGGAAUGGAUGUACUUGGUGUUUCUUCUACUCUAAAAUUUUGUUCAUGAAAAAAAUGUUUAUGGAUGAUUCCUGAAUCAUCACCUAGAAGAGAGGGGCUACUAGGAUAUUUACUACCACUGAUAAUGAUAUUCUUUAUAAUUUGCUUUAUUUUUUGAGAUAUUAUGUGCCAAACCCAAUUCUUUAAGUUCCCGAGGACAAUUCAGUUCUUUGAAAUAGACCCAUUUCCCAUUCAAACCCAACCAGUCUCCUGCCCCAUGCAAACAACAGGUGCUUUAGAAAAUAGCCAAUAGAAAGACAAUAAUUCUUGUCCUUCAGGACCAGUGCCAGUGGAAAAAAGUGACCUGAAAUACAGAUCUCAGGCUUGACAUGAUGAAAAUCUAAUACCACAGCUGUUUUCUCUCAGAACUGUCACUCAUCAUGUUUUAAUUUCACAGUUUUGAAUUAAUCUUUUCUAAAUACAGCAGCAGAGGAGGUGAAGGAGAUAGCAGUUCCUAGCAAAGGAAUGAGGCCAGUAUUUGCAAAGUUCCUGCUCUCUCUUGCUGCCCUUCUUCCCACCCCUGUGCCCCCAUGACCUGCCAUUUUGGAAUUUGUUUCCUGGUAUCCUACAAUACUAUAUUUGUACAGAGAAGAUCUCUAAACUAGCUCAUAAGCCCAAUUGUUUUGAAGAGUAAUUAUUGCUUUAGCCUCCUUCCAAUGCCAUCCCAGGAUACCUUUCCCAGUCCUUUCCAUCUCUGAUUAUUCCCCCCCAAAAGAUAGAUCUGGGGGGAAAAAACAACAAAUAGGUUCAAGGUUUGUCAGCAUUAUAUAUUCAGAUUCUACUUUAUCUGAAUUUAGACAUUUCAGUUCUGCUGGGAGGCCAGCAAGUACAGAUCACAGAAUUUUAGAAUUAUGGAGGACAUAAAAGUUCACCAAUUCUAGCCCCUUCAAUCAUUUGUUCAGCAAGUAUUGGGCAUUUACUGUGUGUCAGGCACUGUGGGCUAAAUCAUCCCUUUGGGAAUCAAGGAAAGGCAAAAACAAUCCUGCCCUUUCAAAGCAUUUCAUUCUGAUGGGGAGAGACAAGAUGAAAAUAAAUAAGUAUAUACCAAAACAUGCAGAGCAGGUAGAGAAAGGGAGGUGUUAAGUAACUCCCCAGUGUUGCAGCCAGUUAAGGGGCAGCUCUGGGGCUAUCAACAAUGCAUGUUUUCUCAUGAAUCUACCCUUUUUGUUCCGGAUCCUAGGUGUUAUGUCCCCUUUCAUAUUUACUUAUCAGUUGGUCAGAAUUAGACUGAAUUCAUUACAGAGACUGUGCCACAUUUCUACAGUGCCUCAAAUAACCAAUUUCUGUUUUUUAAAAAAUGAUACUACAUACUCUUUUUAAAAUUUCAUUUUAUUGAUUUAUUUUUUUUACCUCCCAAAGUUAUAUGAUUCAUGGUGUCUCCCUCCAUUCUUCCCUCCUCUCUCCUGUAGUUUACAAGCAAUUCAAUCUGGGUUAUACAUGUAUUAUCAAGCAAAACAUAUUCAAAAUUUUGAGUAAAUUUUAGAGUAAAAUCUUAAUGAUUUGAAAAAAAUUUCUUAUUGGAGAAAAAUUCUCUGAAUUCAAUAGAGAUUUUCAGGAUUUAGAAUAAGGAAUUGAAUCAAAGAGCAUAAGAGAAAAUAUCAGAGAAUCUAUGGAAGAGUAGAAACAGAGAAAUUUGAUUAUAUGAUAGAUAUAUGGGUGGAAAAACUAGAGGAAAACUUGGAAUUGGGGUUUAAGGAUCCUUGGAAAUUCAACACAUUUUUACCUGAUUGUUUCUUAAAGCUUGGUAAAGAAUGCUAGUGACUUUGGGCAACUAGGUUUCACAGUGAAUAGAGAGAAUAUCAGGCCUGUAGUGAGGAAGAACCCGGGUUCAAAUCUGGCCUUGGACACUUACUAGUUAUGUGACCCAUGUAUGGCAAGUCACUUCACCCUAUUUUUCUCAAUUUCUUCAUCUGUAAAACAAAGCUGGAGUAGGAAAUGGUAAAUCAUUCCAGCAUUUUUGCCAAGAAAACCCCAAAUGUGGUCAUGAAGAAUGGGACACGACUGAUCAAUAAAGUGAUUCAAUUACUGUCAAUUUUGUAUUUGCUACAAAGAUUAUGCCAAGUUAACAGUCUCCACUGGUGUAGGCAGCUUCUGUGCUGGGAGCUGAUAAAGUUUGGGGGGGAGGGAUGACAAAAACCAACCCCACCAACAAGAAGAUUAUAGUAUCUGUGGAGACAAAAAUAUUUGUACUGACUACUUAAAUAAUAAAAGUUGAAAACAUUGAGAAUAAUUUACUAAUAAUCAUAAUAUCCAUGUGAAUUGCUGUGGACAAUUAUUGUCUUCAUAAUUCACAGCUGUCAUUGCAUUGUUCCACUGUCCUAAAGUAUUAAAUGGCUCCCUAUUGAUUGCCAAAAUCAAUUAUGUUCAGUUCUACAAAUAUUCAUUAUGUACCUCCUAUGAUUUAGAAGAGUAUACUAAAUAAAGUCUAAAUUUCUUAGCCUGACUCAGAGGAUCUUAAAUUAAGAUCUAUAAGAGUCUUUAGAGUUCAAGGCCUUUACAAUGUGCUUAUGUGCAUUUUCAGCUUUAAUACAUAUUCUUUUUCAUAUAACCCAACCCAGAGUAACAGAUAGCUUACUAUUUGAUAUUCCCUGAUUAUUUGCCUUCUGGCUUUUGUACCUUUGCCCACAUCAUAUCCUUUGCUCUUGGUAUUAACAUUUCCUACCUCCUCAUUUAAAUGCCCAACUGCUCUCUCUUCUGAGAAGCCUUCCUGGAUCCCUUCAGCUGAAAGAGUUCUCUACCACUAGCUCUUUUUGCUUUUUUUAUGUGUUUGCCAUAUUUUGGUUUUCUGUUAUAUUUAUGCAUCAUCUUUCUGCCUAGAACAUAAAUUCUUUAAUUUCGGAGAUUAUGAAGCAUUUUUUUUCUAUAUUAACCAUAGCACCUGGUAUAUUGCUGUUCAUCCAUCAUUUUCUAAGAGGUCCAGUGACAUUGAGGAGGAAGUUGACUUACGUUGCACAAAGUUAUCAACAUCAUUCUUUCUUCCAGAUUUAUCCAAGUCCAGUGGCAAGACAAAAGCCAAGAUGACUGGCAGUGGCCAGGGAUUCAGGAUGACCUUGGCAUCUUCCCUAUCUGACCAGGCUCGAAGUGCUCCAUGGCACCUGCUUCAGUCAUAUUCAUGGCCUUUGGCAUGAAUCUCCCAUUACAAUGGAGGAAAUCUUCCCAUGCUUUGGGUAGACAUCCCCUUAACUCAUCGAUUCCCUUCAAUCCUAUGUAUCCCCUCAGCUCAGUCAGUUUUAUGGGGUCUGGCCACUGUUCUUGCUUCUUGGAGCCAAAGGUGAGAGUUGGAGAAAAGGUGGACCCCAAAGGUGGAUGAGUAGUCCUGAACAGGACUGGACAAGUCUCAUCAACCCAGUGUCUCUCGAGUACUUCUAUAUGCUUGCUGAAUUAACAGAUUCAUUGUCCAGUUUUUAUGUAUAGCAAAACUUAGGAUUCACACUCCCAGUUCCCAUCCCAACCUCUAACCAAGUCCCCAAACUAUGGUGGCUACUUACUUGUCUCUUCAAGAGUUCCAGUGGUAAUUUGGAGGAGGUUUCCUUAAUGACUAUAGCUAUAACUAUAGAUUAUAUAGUUACAUGUAAUUUUAUAUAUAUAUAAUUUAACUACAUGUAUAGCUCAUUUUAUUGCAUUCUACUUCAUUGUGCUUUGCAGAUAUCAUGCUUUUUACUGAUUGAAGGUUUGUGGCAACCUUGAGUCAAGCAAGUCCAUUGGCGCCAUUUUUCCAAUAGCAUAUGUUCACAUCAUGACUCUGUGUCAUACUUCAGUAAUUCUCACAAUAUUUAAAAGUUAUUAUUAUUAUUAUAUCUGUUAUGGAAGUCUGUGAUAGUGAUCUUUGAUGUUAUACUGUGAUGCCCCAAACUUGGCCCACCUGAGAGAGCAUAUAUAUCACCACGUGCUGCUCUCAGUGAUUAUCAUUUGAUAUCAGUGAAUCAGGCUUCCACAUUUAUUUAGCAUUUACUGUGUGUCAGCCACAAGAAUAUAAAGAAAGGGAAAAGAUAGUCCUCGCUCUCGAAGAGCUGCCGGCCUAAUGGGGGAAAUAAUAUCCAAGUAAUAUAGAUAGACAAGGUAUAUAGGAGAUAAAUUGCAAAUAAUCACGGGAGAGAAGCAUUGGAAUUGAGGAGCAGGAAAGGCUUCCUGGAGAAGAUAGGAGUUUAGCUGAGACUUGAAAGAAGUCAGGGGAGGGAGAGCUCUAGAAAUGGAGAUCACCAGUUUACCAAAGUGUUAAAAUCAGAAUAGUAGGUAGAAAACAUUCUUCUUUUUCAGAAAAAGAAAGCAUCUUUGACGGUCCCCUUUGAGCACUCUUAUGGAGUGUCAGGACAAGUGGGCUUAAGCUUAGAGAGCACAUAUAAAAAGGGAUAACUCAUAAUUCCUGGUGGCUUGCAGGCUAUUCCUGCCCUUUGCUGGGUACUCAAUGAAGAUCCCCUCAGGGAUGUUGUACCCUUCUCCUAAGCUCCUUGUAGAGUCUUAAUACACACACACACACACACACACACACACACACACACACAACAAAACAAAAACAAAGCAAAACAAAAUCCCUUACCUUGUCUUAGUUCAUACUGACUUACUCCUUACUACUAUCAGUUCUAAGGUAGAAAGACUGGUAAAGGCCAGGCUAUUGGGCUUAGGUGAUUUGUCCAGGGUCUUACAGCUAGAAAGUGUCUAAAGUCACAUUUGAACCCAGGAUUUCCUUUCUCUAGUCCCAGCUCUCUAUUCACUGAGCUACCUUGCACCCCCUCCUUGUAGACACUUGAAGCUGCUUUUCUUCCUUGUAUCUAGUUUGUUCUUGACUCCCAAAGCAGAUCCUGCUGCCAGGUCAACAGUGAGAAGUUUAAAAUCUGUCAAUUUUCUGAACUUCAUCUUGGUGGUAUGAUGGCGAUAUAAUAAAUUGCCAGACCUGGAGUCAAGAAGGUCUGAAUUUAAGUCCAAUGUCAGAUACUUACUAUGUAACACCAGGCAAGUCACCUAACUGCUGCCUCAGUUUCCUCAUCUGUAAAAUGGGAGGUAAUAACAUUUGGGUCACUUAAAAUACAGAAGCACAUGCAUCUGUAUGUGGACCAGAUCUCACCAAUUGGAGAUGAGCAUCCUGAGCCACUGAUGGUGCCUCCUUGCCACUAAUGACCUUAUACGAGGUGAAGAAUGAGUGGGUCAGAUUCCAAUAUGAAGAGCCUGGGAGAAGGCUAAGACAUUCUAGGGAGAAUGAGCUAAAGCAAGCUAAUAGGAAAGCAGGAGGUGUCUGCCUUGUGUUCAUUUGACAAAUAGUUCAAUUUGGUUCCCUUUUAGAGUAAGAACGGGAGAAUAGUAGCUGAGAUGGAUGGAAAGGAGAACUGGGGCCAUAUUGUGGAAAGUCUUCAAUACCGACAAGAACUGAGAUUUGAAUCAAAUAGUUGUUUAUCAAAAUUCAGCCAUCUUCGAAAUUUAAAAGGAAAUAUAAAAAUAUCUAUACCAAGAUAUUUGGAUUUUCUGACUUUUUUGUUUUCAUUCCAUUCUAAGUGUUUUACUUCUUUAUAAAACAAGCACCGAGAACCAUAAUGAUAACUGGACACUCAUUAAUUUUUUAAUUAAAAAUUUUUAACCAAUGAAAAUCUGCCUUCCCUCAACUGUUUGAAAAAAGAAAAAAACCAAAACCUCAGUUGAUAACUGGUUGCUCUUCAACAUAAGAGCUGUGGAUUUUCUAAGACUGGAUGGUUCUUUUCUAGAAGCAUUGUUUUCCAAGUUAAGAUGGCUCAGAAGGUUUCUCUUGUUGUUCAACUUCAUCUGGCAUGCCACAGCAUCAUGUUUUCCUAAGUAUUGAAUGUUGACGCAUUGUAUUUAAGAACUUUUAGAAAGAACGCCUUUCACCACAUUUUGAGCCUUUUCUUCCAAAUUCUGUUUUCAAUUAAAGGAGAGUUUCUUUCCCUCCCUCGGCUAUGACUUUCAACCCUCACUUAGUAUAAUCAGUUAGUACAAUGUAGUGGGAAAAGCUUUGGAUUUAAUAUUAAGAGGCCAGGAAUUGAACUUUGACUCUUACAACCUUUGUGAUUUUGGAAGUCACUUAAUUGCUGGACUGAUCUUCACUGCUUCUUCCAUGAGGGGCUGUGGAGAGGGCACCACUUGAUGAAUUUUAAAGCAUUUUAUAAAUAUCAUUUUUAAAAUUAUAGGACCAAAGUGCCUAAUCAGUACUUUUCUAUAAUCAGUUGUUAAUCAUGUAUUUAUGUAAUAUUUAAUAUAUGUAUCUAUUACACAUAUAGUUUAGUUUUUAUACUUUGUAAUUAUUUUACUAGUUAUUCAUGCAACAGUAUAGGAUCAGUUUAUCACAUUCUUUGUUGCAGACUAGGAAAUUAAGGUUCAGAGAAUUUGUGGAGGAUUACACAGGUGAUGGAUCUUGAAUAAGAGCUUAAAAAUCUUGCUUCAUUGAUUUUGCAGUAACUCUCCCCUGAGCCACAAAGCAUUCCCGCCUCUGGGCUGUACUUUUGGCAUGACUGAUUCAGCUACAUCUGGGUUUGCUGCUAGGCCUUCUGGAGCAAGUCCAGGGCAUGCUCCUUCCAAAAGUGGUCUACGCGAGUGUGGAGUAAAUUAGUAGUGGAAAAGAUCACCUCUUCCAAAUGAAUACAAUCCAAGACUUUUUUAAAAAUAGGGAAAUGUGUCUCCCAUUCAUAGAAUUUCAGAGAGCUAAAAAAGACCACAAAGGCAGGCAAACUGAUCAAUGUGGUUAAUAAAAUUUCUUGUUUUUUUUCUUCUCAUUCCUAUUGCUAUUUGCAUUUCACAUCCAUUUACUUACAAUACUGCAAGAAAGACUUGUGAUGUUAAAAACUGUGAACUUAGUGUAAAUUACAUUUAGAAACAGAAUUUAGACUCUUCAAGUUGAAAAAGACUUUGCUGAUUCUGUCUCAUCUCCCCACUCACUUAGCAAUUCUCUCUACCAGCUUUCUAAGAAGGGAACUCCUUAACUUUUGCUUGAACCAUUAGAAGGAUAGGAAUUUCUUGUAGCAUCAUUUUGUUUUUUGACAACUCAAAUCAUUAGACAAUUCUUCUUACCAGAAAAGUCCUGAUCCUUCCCUUGGUAGAUGCAAAAAAUAAGUCUGACCUCUUUUCCAUAUGAUAUCCUUGCAAAUAUUUGAUGAAAGCUAUCAUAUCUUCUGUAAAUAUGUUUCACUUAAAAUUUUUUUCUUUAUUAUAUGACCCUCUCUACCUUUUGUACAUGCUUAAAAACAUCUGAACUCAUUUAAAAGCUCCUUGUAUACCAAAGCUGUCUGGAUUUCCUCCUUUUUUUCUUAUCAACAUCAUUUGUGAUUAUGUUGCUAGAAUUUUGCUUGUGAGAGCAACUCAUCCUUUAAUUUUCCUUUUAAAGCUUUGGAUCAUAGGAUCACACUUUUUCCUUUAUAUAAAUUCGUUAUUUAUUCAAGUAUUUUUUCUUUUUAAAUUUUGGGUUCAAAUUCUCUCCCUUCUACCCUUUUUCCUCCUUCACUCACUAAUAUGGCAAUUAAUAUGAUAUCAGUCAUACAUGUUAAAUCUGUAAAACUUAUUUCCAUAUUAGCCAUAUUUUUAAAAGCAAGAAAAAUAAAAUUAGAAACUUAUACUUGAAUUUACACUCAGAGUUUGUUAGUUCUCUCUUUUUUAUUAUAAGUCCAUUGGAAUUGUAUUGAUCAGAAUAACCAAGGCUUUCACAAUCAAUCAUCAUUGCAAUAAUGCUAUUGCUGGUAGUGCAUUCUGAUCUCCUAAUUAUUCUUAUUUUAUUUGCAUCAGUUCAUAUAUGGCUUAUCAAGUUUUUCUAAAACCAUCCUCCUCAUUUCUUACAGCACAAUAACAUUUUAUCACAAUCAUAUGCCCCAGUUUGUCCAGGCAUUUCCCAGUUGAUGAGCAUUCCUUUCAAUUUCCAGUACUUUUCCCCCCUUUUAAAGAAUUUUAAAAUGCUUUAAAAUCCACCAAUUCUGCUCCCUAAAUCUAAAUUUAUAAUGAAUGUAUAGAUAGUUGAAGUCUCCAUCAUUAUUUUAUUUUACCUCUAUGUCAGUUUUGUGAUUAGCUUUAAGAAAAUAUCCAUAUGGGGCAGCUAGGUGGCUUAGUAGAUAGGCCUAGAGAUAGGAGGUCCUGGGUUCAAAUCUAACCCUGGACAAGUCACUUAGUCCAGUUUCCUCAUCUAUCAAAUGAGCUAGAGAAGAAAAUGGCAAACCACUCCAGUACCUUUGCCAUGAAAAUGCCAAAAUAGGGACACAGCGUCAGAGAAGACUGAAACAACUUAAUGAUAAAUCAAAAUGAUCCAUUUUACAUUCCAUAAUGCUUUUUAUCUCUUGUUUGGUUAUAAAUUCUUCCUUUAUCCUUAUAUCUGAAAGGUAAAAUUUUCUGUGCUUCCCUAAUUUGCUCAUGAUAUCAUCCUUUAUAUCUAAAUCAUGUACCCAAUUUGGUAUGACAUAUUGGCCUCUACCUAAUUUUUGUCAAACUACUUAAUUUUCCUAGUAAUUUUUAUCAAAUAGUGAUUUUUUUGGUCUCAAAAUCUUGGAUCUUUGGGUUUACCAAUGCUAGAUUACUAUAGCUAUUUACUACUGUGCAUUGUGAUUGUAUUGUAUCCACCAUUCUGUUUCUUAGCCAGUAUAAUUGUUUUGAUGAUUAUCACUUUGCAAUAUAGUUUGAGAUAUGGUACUGAUAGGCUAUAAGGUGGCAAUUUACUUAAGUAUUUAUUUGUGCCUCUUUUACUGAGAUGUUAAUUGUCUUGCUUCACUCUCAUUUCUUUCUACAAGUUUUCUUCUACCACUCAUGUCUUUCUUUAACUCUUCCAGGCAUACUUGUUGGUCUUGGGUACAAUUAACAUUUUUCUUUGAGGCUUUGGUUAUAUCUGUUUUGACUUUAUUGGUCUAACUUCUAAAACCUUUGGUUUCCUUAACUGUAAAAUAAAGAGAUUGGGGGACACAAUCCAAAACCUACAGAUCAAAGCACCCAGGCUUAGAGAGGAUAAGUAGCUUAUGUGGGCAAGACCUGGGAAUUCUUGCUAACUGUAAAUUCAAUGUUCAUCAGAAGUGUGAUGUAGGAGACAAAAUAGUCUGAUACAGGAUUUGUGCUUUUAAAUGCCUAAAAUAAAAUAUGUAGGAUUACAAAAAAAAAA